CAGCCGCCGCGGGAAUACGAAGGGUGCAAGCGUUACUCGGAAUUACUGGGCGUAAAGCGUGCGCAGGCGGUUUGUUAAGUCAGAUGUGAAAUCCCCGAGCUUAACUCGGGAACUGCAUUUGAAACUGGCAGGCUAGAGUCUCGUAGAGGGGGGUAGAAUUCCAGGUGUAGCGGUGAAAUGCGUAGAGAUCUGGAGGAAUACCGGUGGCGAAGGCGGCCCCCUGGACGAAGACUGACGCUCAGGUACGAAAGCGUGGGGAGCAAACAGGAUUAGAUACCCCUGUAGUCCCUGUCUCUUAUAC
rnacentral:rRNA from 1 species